GACUUUAGUUCAACGGCCGCGGUAUUCUAACCGUGCGAAGGUAGCGUAAUCACUUGUUCCUUAAAUAGGGACCUGUAUGAAUGGCAUCACGAGGGUUAUACUGUCUCCUUUUUUCAAUCAGUGAAACUGAUCUCCCCGUGAAGAAGCGAGGAUACUAAUAUAAGACGAGAAGACCCUAUGGAGCUUUAAGCAAAUUUACAUAUGUUACCAUUUUCACCCCCGGUGCACCACAAAAAGUACAACAUUCUGAUAAAUAGCUUUCGAUUGGGGUGAUCGCGGAGUAAAAAAUAACCUCCACAACGAACGGGUUAAUCCCCUGAGCCAAAAACUACAACUUUAAGCACUAAAAAAAUUAACGUUUAUUGACCCAACAAUUUGAUCAACGAACCAAGUUACCCUAGGGAUAACAGCGCAAUCCCCUUCAAGAGCCCUUAUCGACAAGGGGGUUUACGACCUCGAUGUUGGAUCAGGGUAUCCCAGUGGUGCAGCCGCUACUAAUGUGUUCGUUUGUUCAACGAUUAAAACCCUACGUGAU
rnacentral:rRNA from 1 species